rnacentral:tRNA from 1 species
GCCUGUGUUGUUCAAUGGUUAGAGCAUCAUCCCAUGCACAGAAGGGUUGUAGGUUCAAUUCCUGUCAAGGGCA